rnacentral:rRNA from 1 species
CGGAGGGUGCAAGCGUUAUCCGGAUUCACUGGGUUUAAAGGGUGCGUAGGUGGCUUUGUAAGUCAGUGGUGAAAUGCCGGAGCUUAACUCCGGAACUGCCAUUGAUACUGCUUAGCUUAAAUCACGUCGAGGUGGAUGGAAUAUUACAUGUAGCGGUGAAAUGCUUAGAUAUGUAAUAGAACACCGAUUGCGAAGGCAGUUCACUAGGCGUGUAUUGACACUGAGGCACGAAAGCGUGGGGAUCAAACAGGAUUAGAUACCCUGGUAGUCCACGCCCUAAACGAUGUAAACUCGACAUCAGCGAUAUACUGUUGGUGUCCAAGCGAAAGCGUUAAGUUUACCACCUGGGAAGUACGACCGCAAGGUUG